rnacentral:rRNA from 1 species
GACGAACGCUGGCGGCGUGGAUUAGGCAUGCAAGUCGAACGGUAUCAUCCUUUCGGGGGUGAGAGAGUGGCGAACUGGUGAGUAACACGUAGGUUAUCUACCCUCAAGACGGGGACAACCCAGGGAAACUUGGGCUAAUACCGGAUGUGAGCAACUUUUAGUUGUUUGAAAGGUGGCGUAAGCUGUCGCUUGGGGAUGAGCCUGCGUCCUAUUAGUUAGUUGGUGAGGUAACGGCUCACCUAGGCAAUGAUAGGUAGGCGGCCUUAACGGGUGGUCGCCCACACUGGGAUUGAGAUACGGCCCAGACUCCUACGGGAGGCAGCAGUCGAGAAUAGUCUACAAUGGUCGGAAGACUGAUAGUGCGACGCCGCGUGAACGAUGAAUCCCUUCGGGGUGUAAAGUUCUUUUAUAUGUGAGCAGUGCUUUCUUAUAUUAACAGUAUGGGGAGAGAGAUAUUAGCAUAUGAAUAAGCAACGGCUAACUCCGUGCCAGCAGCCGCGGUAAUA